AUACGUAGGGAGCGAGCGUUGUCCGGAAUUACUGGGCGUAAAGCGCGCGCAGGCGGCGAUUCAAGUCGUCUGUCAAAUGGAAGGGCUUAACCCUUUUUCGCAGACGAAACUGGAGAGCUUGAGAGGCAGAGAGGCAAGCAGAAUUCAUGGGGGAGCGGGGAAAUGCGUAGAUAUCAGGAAGAAUACCAGUGGCGAAGGCGGAUUGUUGGCUGCAUAUUGACGCUGAAGCGGGAAAGCCGGGGGAGCGAACGGGAUUGAAUACCCCGGUAGUCCUGGCAUUAAACGAUGUAUGCUGGGUGUGGGACUAGCGAUAGUUUCUUGACGAAGUUAACGCGAUAAGCAUACCGCCUGGGGAGUACGGUCGCAAGAUUGAAACUCAAAGGAAUUGGCGGGG
rnacentral:rRNA from 1 species